UACAGAGGGUGCAAGCGUUAAUCGGAGUUACUGGGCGUAAAGGGCGCGUAGGCGGUCUAGUGAGUGUGAUGUGAAAGCCCCGGGCUUAACCUGGGAAGUGCAUCCGAAACUGGAAGGCUUGAGUACUUAAGAGGAUCGCGGAAUUCCCGGUGUAGAGGUGAAAUUCGUAGAUAUCGGGAGGAACACCAGUGGCGAAGGCGAUCACCUGGGGAUGUUCUGACGCUGAGGAGCGAAAGCUAGGGGAGCAAACGGG
rnacentral:rRNA from 1 species